rnacentral:rRNA from 1 species
CUUACCAUGCAGUCGAACGGCAGCACGGGAGCAAUCCUGGUGGCGAGUGGCGAACGGGUGAGUAAUACAUCGGAACGUGUCCUGGAGUGGGGGAUAGCCCGGCGAAAGCCGGAUUAAUACCGCAUACGCUCUGAGGAGGAAAGGGGGGGAUCUUAGGACCUCUCGCUCAAGGGGCGGCCGAUGGCAGAUUAGCUAGUUGGUGGGGUAAAGGCCUACCAAGGCGACGAUCUGUAGCUGGUCUGAGAGGACGACCAGCCACACUGGGACUGAGACACGGCCCAGACUCCUACGGGAGGCAGCAGUGGGGAAUUUUGGACAAUGGGCGCAAGCCUGAUCCAGCAAUGCCGCGUGUGUGAAGAAGGCCUUCGGGUUGUAAAGCACUUUUGUCCGGAAAGAAAACACGCCUGUUAAUACCGGGUGUGGAUGACGGUACCGGAAGAAUAAGCACCGGCUAACUACGUGCCAGCAGCCGCGGUAAUACGUAGGGUGCAAGCGUUAAUCGGAAUUACUGGGCGUAAAGCGUGCGCAGGCGGUUCGUUAAGACAGAUGUGAAAUCCCCGGGCUUAACCUGGGAACUGCAUUUGUGACUGGCGGACUCGAGUAUGGCAGAGGGGGGUAGAAUUCCACGUGUAGCAGUGAAAUGCGUAGAGAUGUGGAGGAAUACCGAUGGCGAAGGCAGCCCCCUGGGCCAAUACUGACGCUCAUGCACGAAAGCGUGGGGAGCAAACAGGAUUAGAUACCCUGGUAGUCCACGCCCUAAACGAUGUCAACUGGUUGUCGGGUCUUCAUUGACUUGGUAACGAAGCUAACGCGUGAAGUUGACCGCCUGGGGAGUACGGUCGCAAGAUUAAAACUCAAGAG